AGAGGUGGCAAGCGUUGUUCGGAAUUACUGGGCGUAAAGGGCGCGUAGGCGGUUCGUUAAGUCCUGUGUGAAAUCCCCCGGCUCAACUGGGGAACGGCACAGGAAACUAGCGGGCUUGAGUUCAGGAGAGGGAAGCGGAAUUCCGGGUGUAGCGGUGAAAUGCGUAGAUAUCCGGAGGAACACCGGUGGCGAAGGCGGCUUCCUGGACCGACACUGACGCUGAGGCGCGAAAGCUAGGGGAGCAAACGGGAUUAGAUACCCCGGUAGUCCUAGCUGUAAACGAUGAGUGCUGGGUGUAGGGGGUAUCAACCCCCCCUGUGCCGAAGCUAACGCAUUAAGCACUCCGCCUGGGGAGUACGGUCGCAAGGCUG
rnacentral:rRNA from 1 species